AUGAUCCCAGUUCCCAAACCCACGUUCCCGAAUCACGGCGGCGGCGGCGAGGCUUUUCAGGCCGCCGGCGGCGAGGCGUUUCAGGCCGGCGGCGGUGCUGGUUUUUUCAGGCCGGCGGCUGUGCGGGUCUUCAGGCCGACGACGGCUGGACGAAGGCGGCGGCCGCCAUGGCUGUUAUGUCUGGGCGCCGGCGACGAACGGAAGAUGGGCGGCGGGGCCAACCCAAGGUCGACGAAUGGAAGAUGGGCGGCGAUCACAUCAUCACAGGAUGUGGAGGUCCCCAAGUUUGAUUUUGGGCUGCCCAGGAACCAGUUUGAUGCUGAGAAAGUUGCCCAGGAACCAGUUCGAUUUUGGGCUGCCCAGGCACAAAAUGCAGAAGAAGAUAAUGUCAAGGAUGAACAAGGAGAGACUGGACUGUAG
rnacentral:rRNA from 1 species